CGGUAAAUAAUUUUUGUAGCGUAAAAGCUAAAUAAAUUCAUACAUACUAUAAUACAGUAAGCCAGAGUAUUUAACUUAAUUUACAAUAACUAGUGGGCCCUCGAAUAACCAAAAAAAUUAAGAAAAGACUGUGAACCUACAGUUUGGAGGAUGCAAAUCCAAUGAUAGCCCUUGAUGAAAUUAGCUAUCUACAGCCUAUUCUGAGCCUGAAAUGGGUGGAAAGGAGGGUGGUGAAAUAAUAUAAUCCCAGUGAGUAAACAAACACCAUUCAAAAUAUCUAAAGUCGAGUAAAUGGAGACGAUUAAAAUAUUCCAUUUAAAUAUGUAUUUCAUAACAUAAAUAUUCAUUUCAUUUAAAUAAUCAACAUGGCUUAUGAGUAUCUUAAAAGCUUGGCUCCUGCCAAAAUCAAUCUCGAGAAUACCUUGGCCGAGGCAUUUAACCGAGUCCUCCAAGGCUGUUAAAAAGUUUUAUAUACACAUAAACAUGUUUUUAGUUUGGAAAACACAAUCGUUCCUUGGCGUUAGCGGAGUUCAUCAUCACGAGGUGGUUCGGCGUGACGUAAACUCUAACCAUACCUCAGGAGAUACUCUACGCGCCUCUCCAACCGAGGUACAUAUAUAACCGAAUUUUGUGCCCCUCUAAUAAGCUGGUCCACAAAACUCACUCACUGCAGCAAGCUAAACCCACCAUACAAUAAAAUUUGGAUAGCAUGACAUGAUUAAUAUUAUACUACCCAGCCUAUAAAUGUAAAACAGAACAAUUCAUACAGUUCACAAACCAUAAUCCCAGCCAGUCAUGCCAACACAUAAUCAUAAGCCAUCAAUUAAAACCAUAAAUUACAACACAUCAAGUGGUCUCCAGUUACUCUAUUUUCAAAGCCAUCAUUCAAUUUCAAGACAAUUUCAUGAAAUCAUUUCAUUAAAUCACAUUUUAUUUAUAAAAUCAAAAAAUCAAUCAUUUAAUUUAUUUUCCAUAAAAUUCACAAAAUCGAAUAAAAAGACCACUUUAGAUAAUUAAAAUGAUGAUAAGGUUACUCACAGUUCUAGGAGUUCGAUAUACUCCUAUUCUCGGUCUUCGAGCACAAUCUCUUUACUCUUGUUAGAGGGCUCACCACCUAUACAUCAUACGUGACACGAAUUUCAAUAAAUUGUAUCAAUUUAUCAUAAAC
rnacentral:lncRNA from 1 species